rnacentral:lncRNA from 1 species
GACUGGUGAUGAUGGCUGAUGACCCACAUCAUCCAGAUCUCUUCCUGCUGACGGACUCGGAGAGAAGGAAACUCAUACAAGUUUCAAGCUGGCAGUAGGAUGAAUGCAACGCUGUGGUUUAAGCAUCUGAGUGCCGCCUGCCAAAGUAACAAACAGCAGGUUCCUACAAACUUGAUGACUUUUGAGUAAAGGCCUAAGAAAGAAGAGAGGGGAACUAUUGCUCC